GCAUAUCAAUAAGCGGAGGAAAAGAAACUAACAAGGAUUCCCCUAGUAACUGCGAGUGAAGCGGGAAGAGCUCAAAUUUAAAAUCUGGCAGUGUCUCGCUGUCCGAGUUGUAGUCUGGAGAAGCGUUUUCUGUGCUGGACCGUGUACAAGUCUCUUGGAAUAGAGCGUCAUAGAGGGUGAGAAUCCCGUCUUUGACACGGACUACCAGUACUUUGUGAUGCGCUCUCAAAGAGUCGAGUUGUUUGGGAAUGCAGCUCAAAAUGGGUGGUAAAUUCCAUCUAAAGCUAAAUAUUGGCGAGAGACCGAUAGCGAACAAGUACCGUGAGGGAAAGAUGAAAAGCACUUUGGAAAGAGAGUUAAACAGUACGUGAAAUUGCUGAAAGGGAAACGCUUGAAGUCAGUCACGUUGGUCAGAACUCAGCCUGGCUUUUUUGCUUGGUGCACUUUCUGAUCAACGGGCCAGCAUCAAUUUUGACCAUUGGAAAAAUUCUCUAGGAAGGUGGCUCUCUCGGGAGUGUUAUAGCCUGGGGUUGUAUGCAGUGGUUGGGAUUGAGGAACUCAGCACGCCUUUAUGGUCGGGGUUCGCCCACGUUCGUGCUUAGGAUGCUGGCGUAAUGGCUUUAAACGACCCGUCUUGAAACACGGACCAAGGAGUCUAACAUGCCUGCGAGUGUUUGGGUGGAAAACCCGAGCGCGCAAUGAAAGUGAAAGUUGGGAUCUCUGUCGUGGAGAGCACCGACGCCCAUACCAGACCUUCUGUGACGGAUAUGCGGUUGAGCAUGUAUGUUGGGACCCGAAAGAUGGUGAACUAUGCCUGAAUAGGGUGAAGCCAGAGGAAACUCUGGUGGAGGCUCGUAGCGAUUCUGACGUGCAAAUCGAUCGUCAAAUUUGGGUAUAGGGGCGAAAGACUAAUCGAACCAUCUAGUAGCUGGUUCCUGCG
rnacentral:rRNA from 1 species